UACAGAGGUCUCAAGCGUUGUUCGGAUUCAUUGGGCGUAAAGGGUGCGUAGGCGGCGCGGUAAGUCGGGUGUGAAAUCUUGGAGCUUAACUCCGAAACUGCAUUCGAUACUGCCGUGCUUGAGGACUGGAGGGGAGACUGGAAUUUACGGUGUAGCGGUGAAAUGCGUAGAUAUCGUAAGGAAGACCAGUGGCGAAGGCGGGGCUCUGGACAGUUCCUGACGCUGAGGCACGAAGGCCAGGGGAGCAAACGGG
rnacentral:rRNA from 1 species